UACGUAGGGGGCGAGCGUUGUCCGGAGUACUGGGCGUAAAGCGCACGCAGGCGGUCUGCUAAGUUUGGAGUGACAGUUGGUGGCUUAACUGCCAAAGUGCUUCGAAAACUGACAGACUUGAGGGCUUCAGAGGGACACGGAAUUCCGGGUGGAGUGGUGAAAUGCGUAGAGAUCCGGAAGAACACCGGUGGCGAAGGCGGUCUGCUGGGGUAAUGCUGACACUGAUGCGCGACAGCGUGGGGAGCAAACAGG
rnacentral:rRNA from 1 species